rnacentral:rRNA from 1 species
CACGCCCUAAACGAUGACAACUAGCUAUUUCGAGUAUCGACCCUCGGAGUGGCGUAGCUAACGCGUUAAGUUGUCCGCCUGGGUAGUACGACCGCAAGGUUAAAACUCAAAGGAAUAGACGGGGACUUGCACAAGCAGAGGAUCAUGUGGUUUAAUUCGAUGGUAAACGAAGAACCUUACCAGGGUUGGAAAUCUAGUUGAAGCUAGCCAGAAACGGUUAGCGCCGCAAGGCAAUUAGACAGGUGC